UUGGUCAUUUAGAGGAAGUAAAAGUCGUAACAAGGUCUCCGUUGGUGAACCAGCGGAGGGAUCAUUACUGAGUUCUACAAAACUCCCAACCCUUUGUGAAUUAUACCUUAGUUGCCUCGGCGUCGAGCGAGUCACCUACCCGGGAGCUACCCUGGAGUCACCUACCCUGUAGAACCUACCCUGUAGGACCUACCCUGUAGGACCUACCCUGUAGACGGCUACCCUGGAGCUACCCUGUAGUUGCACUUUUGCGUCGCCGGUGGACUACCAAACUCUUAUAUGUAUAGUGUAUCUCUGAAUUCUUAACAAAAUUAGUUAAAACUUUCAACAACGGAUCUCUUGGUUCUGGCAUCGAUGAAGAACGCAGCGAAAUGCGAUAAGUAAUGUGAAUUGCAGAAUUCAGUGAAUCAUCGAAUCUUUGAACGCAUAUUGCGCCCAGUAGUAUUCUACUGGGCAUGCCUAUUCGAGCGUCAUUUCAACCCUUACGCCCUGUAGCGUAGUGUUAGGACUCUACUCUUUAGAGAGCAGUUCCCUAAAACCAGUGGCAGUGUUCGGUACACUCAUAGCGUAGUAAUUCUUCUCGCUUCUGCAGUGGCCCGUACUAUUCGCCGUAAAACCCCCUAUUUUCUAAUGGUUGACCUCGGAUUAGGUAGGAAUACCCGCUGAACUUAAGCAUAUCAAUAAGCGGAGG
rnacentral:rRNA from 1 species